CAGCACUGUAGCUAGGGAAAGAAUUGCAGCAUUACAACUAAAUAUUUAUAGCAAACACUUGCUAAAAGCUCUAUACAGUAAAUAAUUACCAUAUUGCUUCAGUCAGGACUUCUCUGAUGCAAGCCAGGCAGAACCCAUUCCUGUCAGUAUUUUUGGAUGGGAAGAAGGCAUUGCACAUAUCUCAGUUGGGCGCUCCAGAGCCACAACAAGAAGGAUAUAGAACCCUGGAGACACCUGUCCCAUCUCUGACACCACCAACAAUGCCUGUACCAAGAUGAGACACUAUCUGAUUUUAAAGCUCUGGAAAGUGGUGUUGCACAGGACAUCCGCCUCUCUCUAAGCACAGGAGCCAGGAGACCCUCCACCCAAAGCCUCCUCAGUGUAUCCCAGAGGAUUAUGCCACGCGGUAUACAAAAUAAAUACGGAAGAAAUAAUCCUCAAUCAAUCAGAGGUUUCUCCACCACAGCAUGAUCCCAAACCCAUUGAAAUCCAGCAUGUCUCUACGCUGUAUAAGCAGCUUCCUCAGUUUUCUCCAAACUACUUUCAGUCCUCUCCGUUACAGUAAGAUUGUCCUUGCUAUAGAGACUACUGACUUUUUCCUACGUGUGUCAAGGCUGAUCUUUCUGCUGCCCUUCUGCUUCACUUCACUGAAUCUGUGGUGAGACACUAAAGCUCAUUCUUCUUACACUGAGAAUUACUCCCCAG
rnacentral:lncRNA from 1 species